AUACCAAUGUAUUCUUGUAAUAUGAAUUUUUUUCUGAAAAAAUUCAUAUUACAAGAAUACAUUGGUAU